rnacentral:snRNA from 1 species
GUGCUCGCUUUGGCAGCACAUAUACUAAAACUGGAACGAUAUAGGGAAGAUUAGCAAGGCCCCUAUGCAAGGAUGACACGCAAAUUCGUGAAACAUUAAAAAAAAAG